CCUACGGGAGGCAGCAGUGGGGAAUAUUGGACAACGGGGGGAACCCUGAUCCAGCCAUGCCGCGUGUGUGAAGAAGGCCCUCGGGUUGUAAAGCACUUUCAGUGAGGAAGAACGCCUGGUGGUUAAUACCCAUCAGGAAAGACAUCACUCACAGAAGAAGCACCGGCUAACUCCGUGCCAGCAGCCGCGGUAAUACGGAGGGUGCGAGCGUUAAUCGGAAUUACUGGGCGUAAAGCGCGCGUAGGUGGCUUGAUAAGCCGGUUGUGAAAGCCCCGGGCUCAACCUGGGAACGGCAUCCGGAACUGUCAAGCUAGAGUGCAGGAGAGGAAGGUAGAAUUCCCGGUGUAGCGGUGAAAUGCGUAGAGAUCGGGAGGAAUACCAGUGGCGAAGGCGGCCUUCUGGACUGACACUGACACUGAGGUGCGAAAGCGUGGGUAGCAAACAGGAUUAGAUACCCGAGUAGUC
rnacentral:rRNA from 1 species